UAGGGAAUAUUGCAAAAUGGGCGAAAGCCCGAUGCAGCAACGCCGCGUGGGCGAUGAAGGCCUUCGGGUCGUAAAGCCCUUUUUGAGGGGAUGAGGAAGGACAGUACCCUCAGAAUAAGCCUCGGCUAACUACGUGCCAGCAGCCGCGGUAAAACGUAGGAGGCGAGCGUUAUCCGGAUUUACUGGGCGUAAAGCGCGUGCAGGCGGAUUGGAGAGUUGGAUGUGAAAGCUCCCGGCUUAACUGGGAGAGGUCGUUCAAUACUUCCAGGCUUGAGUGCAGUAGAGGGAAGUGGAAUUCCGGGUGUAGUGGUGAAAUGCGUAGAUAUCCGGAGGAACACCAGUGGCGAAAGCGGCUUCCUGGACCGUAACUGACGCUCAGACGCGAAAGCUAGGGUAGCAAACG
rnacentral:rRNA from 1 species